AUUGGGUUUAAGGGUGCGUAGGCGGAAUAAUAAGUCAGUUGUGAAAGUUUGCGGCUCAACCGUAAAAUUGCAGUUGAUACUGUUAUUCUUGAGUGUACAUAAGGUAGGCGGAAUUCGUGGUGUAGCGGUGAAAUGCUUAGAUAUCACGAAGAACUCCAAUUGCGAAGGCAGCUUACCGGGGUACAACUGACGCUGAGGCACGAAAGUGUGGGUAUCAAACAGGAUUAGAUACCCUGGUAGUCCACACAGUAAACGAUGAAUACUCGCUGUUUGCAAUAUACCGCAAGCGGCCAAGCGAAAGCAUUAAGUAUUCCACCUGGGGAGUACGCCGGCAACGGUGAAACUCAAAGGAAUUGACGGGGGCCCGCACAAGCGGAGGAACAUGUGGUUUAAUUCGAUGAUACGCGAGGAACCUUACCCAGGCUUAAAUUGCAGAUGAAUAUUUAGGAAACUAGAUAGCCUUCGGGCAUCUGUGAAGGUGCUGCAUGGUUGUCGUCAGCUCGUGCCGUGAGGUGUCGGCUUAAGUGCCAUAACGAGCGCAACCCUUAUUGAUAGUUACUAACAGGUUAAGCUGAGGACUCUAUCGAGACUGCCGUCGUAAGAUGCGAGGAAGGUGGGGAUGACGUCAAAUCAGCACGGCCCUUACGUCUGGGGCUACACACGUGUUACAAUGGGGGGUACAGAAGGUCGCUACCUGGCAACAGGAUGCUAAUCCCAAAAGCCUCUCUCAGUUCGGAUUGGAGUCUGCAACCCGACUCCAUGAAGCUGGAUUCGCUAGUAAUCGCGCAUCAGCCACGGCGCGGUGAAUACGUUCCCGGGCCUUGUACACACCGCCCGUCAAGCCAUGGGAGCCGGGGGUACCUGAAGUACGUAACCGCAAGGAGC
rnacentral:rRNA from 1 species